GACGAACGCUGGCGGCGUGCUUAACACAUGCAAGUCGAACGGAAAGGCCCUGCUUGCAGGGUACUCGAGUGGCGAACGGGUGAGUAACACGUGGGUGAUCUGCCCGGCACUUCGGGUUAAGCCUGGGAAACUGGGUCUAUUACCGGAAAGGAGCGAGUGUUAGUGUGAUGGUUGGAAAGAUUUUUCGGUGUAGGAUGAGCUCGCGGCGUAUCAGCUUGUUGGUGGGGUAAUGGCCUACCAAGGCGGCGACGGGUAGCCGGCCUGAGAGGGUGGACGGCCACAUUGGGACUGAGAUACGGCCCAGACUCCGACGGGAGGCAGCAGUGGGGAAUAUUGCACAAUGGGCGCAAGCCUGAUGCAGCGACGCCGCGUGGGGGAUGACGGCCUUCGGGUUGUAAACGCCUUUCGCUAGGGACGAAGCUUUUUGUGACGGUACCUAGAUAAGAAGCACCGGCUAACUACGUG
rnacentral:rRNA from 1 species